rnacentral:rRNA from 1 species
AACGAACGCUGGCGGCAGGCCUAAUACAUGCAAGUCGAACGGAUGUAGCAAUACAUUAGUGGCGCACGGGUGCCUGACGCGUGGGAACAUACCCUUGAGUAAGGAAUAAUGUCUGGAAACGGACACUAAUACCUUAUAAUGACUUCGGUCCAAAGAUUCAUCGCUCAAGGAUUGGCCCGCGUCUGAUUAGCUAGUUGGUGAGGUAACGGCUCACCAAGGCGACGAUCAGUAGCUGGUCUGAGAGGAUGAUCAGCCACACUGGGACUGAGACACGGCCCAGACUCCUACGGGAGGCAGCGGUAAGGAAUAUUGGACAAUGGGGGAAACCCUGAUCCAGCCAUGCCGCGUGAGUGAAGAAGGCCUUAGGGUUGUAAAGCUCUUUCAAUAGUGAAGAUAAUGACGGUAGCUAUAGAAGAAGCCCCGGCUAAAUUCGUGCCAGCCGCCGCAGUAA